AGUGAACGCUGGCGGUAGGCCUAACACAUGCAAGUCGAACGGCAGCACCGUACGAGCUUGCUCUUCUGGGUGGCGAGUGGCGGACGGGUGAGGAAUACAUCGGAAUCUACUUUUUCGUGGGGGUUCACGUAGGGAAACUUAAGCUAAUACAGCAUACGACCUACGGGUGAAAGCAGGGGAUCUUCGGACCUUGCGGGAUUGAAUGAGCCGCUGUCGGAUUAGCUAGUUGGCGGGGUACAGGCCCACCAAGUGGACGAUUCGUAGCUGGACUGAGAGGAGGGUCAGCCGCACGAGAGCGGAGACACGGACCAGACGCCUGCGAGAGGCAGCAGUGUGGAAUGGGAGGCAGUAGGCGCAAGCAUUGUCCAACCAGACCGCGUGGGAGAAAGAGGCCUUCGGAGUGUAAAGCCCGUUUGUGGGGAGAGAAAAGCAGCAGGUUAAUACCCCGCUGUUCUGACGGUACCGAAAGAAUAAGCACCGGCUAACUUCGUG
rnacentral:rRNA from 1 species